CACGGAUCACCUGCGGCGUUACUUUGGCGAGCUGGCUCACCCGCCGUGUGGCUCGUCAGAGAAUUUGCAACUCUUUUUAUUAAUGUCGUCUGAGUACUAUAUAAUAUUUAAAACUUUGAUCAACGGAUCAUUUGCUCACGGAUCAUCCCCCAGUGCGCUAAGGGCCGCCCUUGUUACCCGCCCUCGGCACCUUACAGACGCUAACCUCACUACGCUUCGCGACCAACUGAUACAUGUCGCACAUUCUAAUGUAUUUCUAUACAGGCU
rnacentral:misc_RNA from 1 species